AUGGAGUGUGAAAAGUCUUCGCUAUUUUACUUUCGCUGCCGUGUGAAGUCAAUUUUUUGCUUUCCAGCCUUUUUUGGGCAUAUUUUAGCUGAUCAACCAGUCACUAGGACAGAAGCUUGUCAGAGGGAUGUCUUUACUGGUGAGUCACACCCAUGAGCCCUGUUCUUUCCUACCAGGUCCUGCCCUGAUCCUCUCUCUCUAAUUAUCUGGGUUUCUCCGUUGAGUGUGAUAUAACUCCGAUACUCAUUGGGCAUCACCUGCAGUUUCCUGGGCACUGAAAGUCCCUUCACCACUAAGGACUUUCAUGUUAAUAACUUGCCUGCACAGCUUAAUUCGCCUCUUUGAUGAUUUAUGAGGCUUUUCAAAGGGUUUCAUAGACCUUCAGUCAAGAUAACAGUAGCCCACAGGGGCUUAUCAGGAGGAAGGUUGGCUGCGGGUCCCUGGGUCCUGGGGGAGAUAAGAACAGCUCUGAGUAAUGGAGCGACGGUGCCCGUCUGCAGAGAGGCCUCUGUGCUCGGGUGGAAGAUUAAAGACUGA
rnacentral:lncRNA from 1 species